rnacentral:tRNA from 1 species
AGGGACGUGGCGUAAAUGGUAGCGCAUUGGAUUUCGGUUCUUUCUGAACGACGUCCUCCAAAGGCUGCGGGUUCGAGUCCUGUCGUCCUCU